rnacentral:rRNA from 1 species
UACGAAGGGGGCUAGCGUUGUUCGGAAUUACUGGGCAUAAAGGGCGCGUAGGCGGUGUGUCAAGUCAGGCGUGAAAGCCCCGGGCUCAACCUGGGAACCGCGCUUGAGACUGGCACGCUCGAGUUCGGGAGAGGAUGGUGGAAUUCCCAGUGUAGAGGUGAAAUUCGUAGAUAUUGGGAAGAACACCGAUGGCGAAGGCAGCCAUCUGGACCGACACUGACGCUGAGGCGCGAAAGCGUGGGGAGCAAACAGG